rnacentral:rRNA from 1 species
UACAGAGGGGGCAAGCGUUGUUCGGAAUUACUGGGCGUAAAGGGCGCGUAGGCGGCCACCGCAAGUCGACUGUGAAAUCUCCGGGCUUAACCCGGAAAGGUCAGCCGAUACUGCGGGGCUAGAGUGCAGAAGGGGCAACUGGAAUUCUCGGUGUAGCGGUAAAAUGCGUAGAUAUCAAGAGGAACACCUGAGGUGAAGACGGGUUGCUGGGCCGACACUGACGCUGACAGCGCGAAAGCCAGGGGAGCAAACGGG